rnacentral:lncRNA from 1 species
AACACACACAUUAGUUUAGGCCUUGUAUUAGUCAGGUUCUGUAGAGGGACAGAACUAAUAGGAGAGAGAUAUAUAAAGGGAAUUUUAUUAAGUAUUAACUCACAUGAUCACAAGGUUCUACAAUAGGUCACAAGGUUUCACAAUACGCCGUCUGCAGGCUGAGGAGCAAGAAGAGCCAGUCUGAGUCCCAAAACUGAAGAACUUGGGAGUCCAAUGUUCAAGGGCAGGAAGCAUCCAGCACGGGAGAGAGAUACAGGCUGGGAGGCUAGGCCAGUCUAGUCUUUUCACGUUAUUCUGCCUGCUUUAUAUUCAGUGGUAGCUGAUUAGAUGGUGUCCACCCAGAUUAUGAGUGGGUUUGCCUUCCCCAGCCCACUGACUUAAAUGUUAAUCUCCUUUGACAACACCCUCACAGACACACUCAGGAUCAAUACUUUGCAUCCUUCAACCCAAUCAAGUUGACACUCAGUAUUAACCAUCACAGACCUAUACAAGAUAAGGAUCAUCAAUAUUGCUGUCUUCCACCUCCACAUCUUGUCCCGUUGGAAGGCCUUCAGGGGUAUUAGCAGCUCUGUUAUAAUCUUAUGGGACCACUAAUGUAUAUGCAGUUUGUCAUUGACCAAAAUGUCAUUAUGUGGCACAUGACUGUACUUAUAUAUAUCACUUAUUUGUGUAUACCAUAUGUCUUUGAAUGUAUAUAUGGAAGUUGGUCAUGAAGGUAACGUUUGUGUGAAAUAUUUGCCCUUUUAGUUUCCUGUGGAACCUGGAAGGAUCAGGAUUCCUGAAAAUUUAAACCAGAACUCAGAUAUUCCAGUAAUUGCUCAUCAAGUGCCCACUAGUAGCUAAGCAUCUGCUACACAACAGCAUACAAAGUCUGGAAGGUCCAAAUUGGAUGUUUACUUGCAGUGAAUAUGUUUUUAAUGGUUUGUUAUAUUCAGAGGAUCAUAACUUCAAAGAUGGUCAUCAAUUAAUUCACAAAGAUAAUGUCAGAAGCAGGAUCCAAAGUGGAGCUUCUAGUGACCCCCAGGAGUGCUGAGUAAACACGCAAGGUACCUGCAGGACCCACUUGUGUCCAUUGAUCUCUCAGAGCAGCUGGGCAUCGUGGGUAAAGACCUUCACAAUCGGGAACCCGUAGAUUGGAUCUUCUGAAAACAUCAGAGAAAGACUAUCUUUGCCAUCCACACUACAGUAAAACUUUGGAGCCUUGAACCUUGGAUUUAUAAUCUCACAACUGAGAAGGGUCCCUCCAUACUCCUGGAACUGUACACCCAUUGGAACUCUUAAGGAGACACCCCUGGAGUCUGUGAAUCUGCUGUGAUUCUGGGGGCUGCCCGAAUCAUGAAUCAUUCAUUGCUCAAUUAAACUCCUUUAAGUUUAAUUUGGCUGAAGUUUUUCUUUUAUCACACCCUUGCCCCAUGAGCCAGGGAAAGGGCAACUGAGGCCGCAGUAUUUUCAGUGGCACCAAGGUACAC